rnacentral:lncRNA from 1 species
ACUAUAAGUAUUGACGAGGCAUUCGUUACUAUGAUGAGCAUGAAACUCCUGCCAAGAAUUCAUUUAACGCAAUCGUUUAUAAGCGACCUCCACUACUUGUGAAUAUAAGUUUGUAACUAUUAGGUGAAACUCCCUUAUACUCUAGCAUCAUAUUCAUGCAUGCAAACUAAGUGUGCACUCUUAAUAAACAUACAUGAAUAAGUUAUCAAUCAAGCAGUUAAACAAAUUGAAUUCAUAACUUAUGAAAUCACAACUGAAGGUAAUCAAUUCAUAUUGCAAGUAUGUUCAUGGCUUUGAAUUCCCCCUAGCUAAGGGGGGUUUAGCUCCUCAUACUCACAAAGCCAAGAUAAAAAAAUUUAGAUAUUCAAAACAAAGAAUGAAAACACCUAAAAACACUCCAACAAUCCAACUUGAAUGGCAAGCACGUCCAAGGGUCCUCCUUCUUCUCUUUGUUGCGGCUAUGCACUUAUGCUCCUAUCAUUUUUCAAUUCGCCUAAGUCCAUAGAUGCAUAGAUUGAAUAAGGCAUGAUAUUUAUAGAUGCACCUAAGUCUAAGAUGGCCGAUUCAAAAUGAGUAUUACCAAUUACACAAGGAAUGGUAAAACUUCCCGGAUCCUUGCAUUUAGUAGGCAGUUUACGUUGUAAAACAGCUGAGACAUUUUCACUUACCUUGACAACCUCCUUGCUCGAAAUUCUCUUCCUAGUUGUGCAAAGUUCUUUUAAAAAUUUGGCAUACUUUGGAACUUGCUUAAUUGCAUCCAAAAGUGGUAUAUUAACUUGAACUUUUCUAAACGUUUCCAAAAUAUCCUUUUCAGCCUCCUCCUUCUUUGAUUGCAUAAACCUAUGAGGAAAGGGUACAUUUGGAGGAACAACGUUAGAAUUAAUCAAAAUUGGAACUUCAUUACCUUUGUUGGCCGAAUUGAAUGGUUUAGGAGCUUUUGAGGCCUGCGGCAAAGGUCUUUCCACCCUUGUCGUGGGGGUGCUUUGCUCCUCCUCUUCAAUUAUCAACUCUUCAAUCUCAUUGGAACGUGAUUUGGAAGAUUGGGGAUCAGAUCCAACUUGUUUUCCAUUUCGCAAACUCAUGGCUUUGGCAGAUUCGAAUCCUCCCUUCGGGUUGACAACGGUUGAACUAGGCAACUUACCUUGCUCUCUGAAUUGUCCUACAAACUCCGCAAUAUGCCCAAUUUGCUUCUCCAUUUGGUCCACCCUUUUGUCUUGGUUUUGCAUUGCUUUGGCUUGAUUUUCUUGCCCCUAAGACAAAUUGGUGAGUAACUUAAGAAGUGUCUCAUUAUCUAAAGAUCUACCUAAGGUAUUUUGGGCAGGUUGUUGUGGGGCUUUUGUUGGUGCGUAUUGCUUGGUAUAAAAGCCUGGAGGUUACUGCCUAAAGCCUCCUUGUUAUUGGGGUUGUUGGGGCUCUCUCCACCUGAAAUUUGGAUGGUCACUCCAACCUGGAUUGUACAUAUUAGAAUAUGGAUUGUUCCUUGGCUAGUUUUGGCCUUGAAAUCAAAUUGCAUUGGCACUUUCCCAUCCACCAUUUUCAAUCAAUUACGGGCACUUUUCAGAGGCAUGUCCUUGGGUAAAGUACACACCACAUACACUUGGUUCUUUCAUCCUCAUUCCUUCGGCCAUCUGAGACCCAAUGGAAGUAAGAUUAGCUAAUUGCGAUUGAAUGUCAGAUGUGGAACUUACCUCAUUCACUUGUUGCCGUGGGGUGUCCCUUUGACCAACGCCUUCAUAUUGUUGAGCAUUCAAUGCUCGGUUAGCAAUUAAGGUCUUGGCAGCUAUGGAUGUUUUGUCCACCAAAGCUCCUCUCGCUGAGGCGUCUAGCAUUUGGCGUUCAAUUGGUAGAAGCCCUUCGUAGAAAUAUUGAAGAAGAAGUUCCUCCUUCAUCUGGUGCUGUGGACAUGAAGCAACAAGGGUUUUAAAACGCUCAUAGUAAGUGGGAAAGGAUUCACCUUGGUUUUGCUGAAUGCCACUAAUCCUUUUGCGUAGUAGAAUGACUCGAGAAGUUUGGAAAAACUUCUCUAAAAAUGCCCGUUUCAUACUCUCUCAUGAUGUGACAGUUCCGGGGGCUAGCUCAUACAACCAAUCUUUAGCCUUUUCUAAGAGAGAAAAGGGAAAAGCCUUCAUUUUCAUAAUGCUCCCAUCAACGUUCACAAGGGUCAUGCUCGAGCAAACAACCUCAAACUCCUUCAAGUGUUUAUUAGGAUCUUCUAUGGACAUCCCGUGGAACUUAGGAAUGUGAUGCAACAAACUUGAUUUCAAUUCGAACUCGUCCGUCUUCCCUAGGGCAGCCAUGGGGUAUUGGAUGCAUAGGGGAGCGGCAUUGUCCAAUCCUGAAGUGGAAAGCUCCUUGAUUGUUCGAUUGUCAGCUGCCAUGUUGGGAUCUUCCUCUACAACCUGUGCCGUGGGCUACUCUUGCUCUUCUACUUUGUCUUCUCCAAGAUUUGGUGCAGGUUGAGAUGGUUGGGGUUCUUGUUGAUUCCUUGCUCGUCUCAAAGUUCGUUCAAAAUCGUCGUCAAAGUCACGGAUGUGCUUAUGAAUAGGUUGAGAACUUCGGGUCAUAAACCACCUAAAACAAGAAAACAAGUAAAGUCAGCAACUAGGAACAAAAACACAUGAAAAUAAAGAAAAAGAAAUAACAAGGGAUUACCAAAAUUGCUAAUCCCUGGCAACGGCGCCAAAAAUUUGAUGCAAAAAUUAUCUUAACACACAAAUUUAACCCUCUUUUAUCAAUUGUAAUAAAGAAUGUAAGUAGGGAUCAUUCUAGGCCGGGGAUUAUGAGGGAUUGUAAAAACACUAGAAACUGACUUAAAAACGUAAAAUUAAGUUUAAAACACCAAACUAGACUCAAAAGAUGCAAUACAAACUAAAAAGACUCAAAACUAGUUUAAAAGACUCAAAACUGCUUAAAACAAUGAAUUAGACUCUAAACUGACUCUAGGGAUGGUUUUGGACGAAAUUAGGUUCUAACUUGACUCAAGACACUUAAAAACACAAAUCAAAAUAGAUUUUGACUAAUAAAACACUUUAAAGUAAAGGGGGAUUUGAUUUUGACGAAUUUGAAAACAAAACAAAUAGAUUGUAAACUAAAACAGAUUUUGGACGAAUUUGGGUAAACUAUGGAUGAUGGGCUAGCUAGAGGGUUCUUCUCCACACAUGACACACUUGCACAUAAACCAAUUUUUAGUUGUUCUUUCGAUAAAUCAUGAAACUCAACACCCCAGGUUAAUUAAGUCCGCUUAAAUUAACCUUCAAGUUCUCCUUAAGUUAUUGAAUUAGAUAGGAAAGCGCAUACAACAAUUCAAGCAUUCUUCAAAAGUCCUUUACGUGAACAGCACAAUAAAGAUAAAAUCAAAGAUCAUUAAGCAUUAUGAAAACUAUAAGUAUUGACGAGGCAUUCGUUACUAUGAUGAGCAUGAAACUCCUGCCAAGAAUUCAUUUAACGCGAUCGUUUAUAAGCGACCUCCACUACUUGUGAAUAUAAGUUUGUAACUAUUAGGUGCAACUCCCUUGUACUCUAGCAUCAUAUUCAUGCAUGUAAACUAAGUGUGCACUCUUAAUAAACAUACACAAAUAAGUUAUCAAUCAAGCAAUUAAACAAAUUGAAUUCACAACUUAUGAAAUCACAACUGAAGGUAAACAAUUCAUAUUGCAAGUAUGUUCAUGGCUUUGAAUUCCCCCCUAGUUAAGUGGGGUUUAGCUCCUCAUACUCACAAAGCCAAGAUAAACAAAUUUAGAUAUUGAAAACAAAGAAUGAAAACACCUAAAAACGCUCCAACAAUCCAACUUGAAUGGCAA